rnacentral:rRNA from 1 species
CAAUAGCGUAUAUUAAAGUUGUUGCGGUUAAAAAGCUCGUAGUUGGAUUUCUGUUGGGAACGACCGGUCCGCCCAUUGGGUGUGUAUCUGGCUUGUUCUCGGCAUCUUCUUGGUGAACGUUGCUGCACUUGACUGUGUGGAGCGCUACCCAGGACUUUUACUUUGAGGAAAUUAGAGUGUUUCAAGCAGGCAUAUGCCUUGAAUACAUUAGCAUGGAAUAAUAAGAUAGGACCUCGGUUCUAUUUUGUUGGUUUCUAGAGCUGAGGUAAUGAUUAAUAGGGAUAGUUGGGGGCAUUCGUAUUUAACUGUCAGAGGUGAAAUUCUUGGAUUUGUUAAAGACGGACUAUUGCGAAAGCAUUUGCCAAGGAUGUUUUCAUUGA